UACGAAGGGGGCUAGCGUUGCUCGGAAUCACUGGGCGUAAAGCGCACGUAGGCGGACUCUUAAGUCGGUGGUGAAAUCCUGGAGCUCAACUCCAGAACUGCCUUUGAUACUGAAGAUCUUGAGUUCGGGAGAGGUGAGUGGAACUGCGAGUGUAGAGGUGAAAUUCGUAGAUAUUCGCAAGAACACCAGUGGCGAAGGCGGCUCACUGGCCCGAUACUGACGGCUGAGGCACGAAAGCGUGGGGAGCAAACAGG
rnacentral:rRNA from 1 species